GAGCGAGUGGCGCCCGCACGCCCUGCGCUGCUCCGCGGGCCGAGCCGGGCCGCCCGGGACGCUGAGGCGGCGGCGGCCGAGGCGGCGGAUCUCGCGCGCCGGGCCCGCGUGCCCGAGCGGAGGUCGCCGUCCGCCGCGCAGGCCGCGCUCCUUCAGCCCGCGGCGGCGAUGAGGCGCUGAGGCGGCGGCCGGCGCCGCGCGGCGGGACCGGAGGACGAGGAAGCGGCCCGGCCGAGGGCGCGGGGCGCCGGCCUCCCGAGGCGAGGGGCGGCGGGUGCAUGGCGCAGUGACGGCCCUUGCGGCUCCGCCCGCUCCCCGGCCCCAGGCGAGGCCGUCCGGCCGCCACCCCUCCUGCUCGGCCGCCGCCUCCACCGCCGCCGCCGCCGCCGCCGCCGCCAUGGCCAAUGACAGCGGCGGGCCCGGCGGGCCGAGCCCGAGCGAGCGAGACCGGCAGUACUGCGAGCUGUGCGGGAAGAUGGAGAACCUGCUGCGCUGCAGCCGCUGCCGCAGCUCCUUCUACUGCAGCAAGGAGCACCAGCGCCAGGACUGGAAGAAGCACAAGCUCGUGUGCCAGGGCGGCGAGGGCGCCCUCGCCUCCGGAGCGGGCCAGCCCCAGCAUCCCGGCCCCGCGCCGCCGCCCAGGGUCGCCGGGGCCGGGGCCAGGGAGGCCAGGAAGGCGGCGCCGCGCCGGGACAGAGCCGCCGCCGCCGAGGCCGCGGGCCCGCGGGUCGCCGGAGACGCGGCCAAGGCGAAGGCGAAGGCCAAGCCGGCGGCCGACCCCGCGGCGGCCGCGUCCCCGCCUCGCGCGGCGGCCGGCGGCCAGGGCCCGGCGGCGGCGGCCGCCGCCGAGGCAGAGCCCGCGAAGGAGGAGCCGCUGGCCCGCUCGUCGCUGUACCAGGAGAAGGCGAACCUGUACCCGCCGAGCAGCGCGCCGGGCGAGGCGCUGAGCCCCGGCGGCGGCCUGCGGCCCAACGGGCAGACGAAGCCGCUGCCGGCGCUGAAGCUGGCGCUGGAGUACAUCGUGCCCUGCAUGAACAAGCACGGCAUCUGCGUGGUGGACGACUUCUUGGGCAAGGAGACCGGGCAGCAGAUCGGCGACGAGGUGCGCGCCCUGCACGACACCGGCAAGUUCACGGACGGGCAGCUGGUCAGCCAGAAGAGCGACUCGUCCAAGGACAUCCGAGGCGAUAAGAUCACCUGGAUCGAGGGCAAGGAGCCCGGCUGCGAAACCAUCGGGCUGCUCAUGAGCAGCAUGGACGACCUGAUCCGCCACUGUAACGGGAAGCUGGGCAACUACAAGAUCAAUGGCCGGACGAAAGCCAUGGUUGCUUGUUAUCCAGGCAACGGAACGGGUUACGUACGUCAUGUCGAUAAUCCAAAUGGAGAUGGAAGAUGUGUGACAUGUAUAUAUUAUCUUAAUAAAGACUGGGAUGCCAAGGUAAGUGGAGGUAUACUUCGAAUUUUCCCGGAAGGCAAGGCCCAGUUUGCUGACAUUGAACCCAGGUUUGAUAGACUGCUGUUUUUCUGGUCCGACCGUCGCAACCCUCAUGAAGUACAACCAGCAUACGCUACAAGGUACGCAAUAACUGUUUGGUAUUUUGAUGCAGAUGAGAGAGCACGAGCUAAAGUAAAAUAUCUAACAGAUGUACAUGCUCUGAAGAGUACUCCAGGUCUUCCAUGUUAAAUGUGGACAUGAAGAAAAUUAAUACAAAGGAGAUGAAUUGAGAUGCUGAAGUCAGUAAAGCAGACAGGUGAAAAAGGUGUGAGGGUUGAACUCAAUAAACCUUCUGAUUCAAUCAGUAAAGACGUCUUAUAGAGCCUUUGAUCCAGCAAUACCCCACUUCAUCUACAGUAAUUAUUGACGCUAUUUGUUAACUUGUGAAUACGAAUAAAUGGGACAAAGAAAACAGACCACCAGUUGGCAAUUUAAGGAAACAGAAACAACUUUUUUGUGUUGCAUCAAAACGAAGAUCUUGACUGUGUGGCUUUGUACCGCAUGAUUGACUCCAAACCUGCGAUGGGAGGGAUAUAAGUUAUCAGCUGAAAGUGGCAUUUACAUCCGGACAUGAAAUAAGUGCCCUAGGUAGAAGUUUUUCAUUCUUAUAUUUUGCCAGAUCUGUCAUCUAGCUGACUUCAUUUCAUCUCUCCCUUUUUUAUAUAGUCAAGUUUGAAUUUGAAGUAAUUUUUGUAUGAUCAGGUACAAUUUAUCAAAACUGAAUUGAGAAAAAAAUUACAGUAUUAUUCCCCAAAAUAGCAUCAAUCUAUUUUUGUAAACCUCUUCGUACUAUUAAAUUUUGCCCUAAAAGGCCUCUUACAAUGAUUGUUGCCAGUGACUAAUGAUUACUUUAAUUUUCUUUUUACUUAAAAUAAGAAAAGGAGCACUUUAAUCACCAACUGAAAAAUCAGAUUGUUUUGUAGUCUUGUCUUACACUAAUUUGAACUCUUAAAAAUUGCUGCUGUUGUUUUUCUGACAUUGUUAAUAGUGAAACAUAACAGUAAAACCAUCACCGUUGACUACCAAUAACUUUUAGUUCAUGUUUUGUAAGAAAAAAUACACAGUAAAAAGGUUUUAUCUUGUAAGUUACAUUUUAAAAAAACUAAAGCGACUGGCACUAAAUGAACUUGAGGCUAUCCUCAGCAUCAAGUUCCCAAGAUAAAGGGCUUUCUUAUGUUUUCAGGUAUAUAUAUCCUAUAGAUGUAGAAGAUACUGUCCCCUUUGCUAAGACUUUUCCUUUUGCUUCCCGUCAGGUUGAUUGUACUUUUGAUUUUGCUGUUACGUUUUCUUCCUACUCCUGUGCCCAUCUGGUCAGCAGGUCAGAACCUCGUUCCUGUUGGGUAGCGUCAAGGGGAGACUGUGCGUAUCCAGACUGAACGGUGUCGUUACAGACUUAACGUUAGUGACGCCUCAGACCACUGCUGACGCACUCCCCAGACACAGCGCUCUUCGUCAGUACUGAAAGAUGGAUGUUUAGCUUAAAAACACAAAACACGAAGCAAAAAAACAGACACUUUUAUGUUUUAUGAGUUUGCUUUUUUACUUUUCAGGAAAAAAAGGGGGAAUACUACAAAAUCACACAAGGCCUCCCAGACUUCUGUUAUUUAACACCUGAAUUAGGACGGGUGUCUUAGACUUAAGUUUCCUAGGCUCUUCAGCAAAGCCCAAAGGGUGGUAUCUGUAUUUUGCAUGAAUUAUGCGUGUAAGACCUUGCCCACUUCAGUUUUCCAUCUCUAUCCUUGAUCUUCUUUGCCAAAAUAAUGUGAGCGUACAGAAAUAUUUCUGUAUAUUUCAACCUAUGACAGUUUUAGCAUCUGUAUAGUUUGUACUCAAUUAGAGACCUUUUCUAUGGAAAGCUCAGUAAUUUUUAUUAAAAGAUUGCUAUUGUUCAUGUAAAACAUGAAAAAAAAAUUGUUUAGUGAACUGACAGUGUGGACUUAGGGUGGGAUUAAAUAUUCAGUAUUGUGAUCUCACUUCCGGAGAACUUGCAGGAGACAAUUACAGUUGACUGUUGUUUUUCCUCACCCAUGUGCAGUUUCGUUCCACUUCCUCUCCUAGUUCCAUAUAAUACAGCGGAACGUCUCAACAGUAAGUGCCUCUGCCCCCUGCCCUCCAACCCUCCCCGAGCGCAAGUUGUCUUUGCCACCUGGCCUGCAGUGCAGUGCGCUGCCUGAGGCCACAACUCAAAAGCGCUGUUAUUUUUAGGUCUAGUAGAAAUCGUAUGAUGUGGAUGGGAGGCUUGUCUGUGAAGGUGUACAGCAACAGCCUUUUAAUCUGGGAGCCCCUGUGUCAUUCAGAUGUGUUUCUCUGCAGUUGUGCAAAGUGUCAGAUUCUACUACCUGUGGGUUUUGCUCGCCAGACAGGUUUUAAGUUUUGGGUUUUUUGGUUUUUCUUUUGGAAAAGUUUAUAUAAGUUCUUGGAGAUUGUUGUGAAAGGAUCGAGAAAUCGGGAUAGCCAUUCCUUUAAUAUCCAUUUAAAAUCUGUUCAUUUCAUGUUAGUGGGACCGUUAACUUGUCACCAAGCAGGACUCUAUAUAAAACAAAAUUUAAAACUUUUUGUGGCCUAUAUGUGUUUAAUCCUGGUUAAAGAUAGAGCUUCUAAUGCUGUUUUUAUUCACCGUAUUAACCAGCCGUAAAACACAGACCUUUAUCAACAGCAGGCAAAGAAUUUGAGGAUUCAUCUACAGAUAGACUAUAAAGUCAUGUAAUUUGAAAAGCGGCGUUUCAUUAUGAAAAAGCUCUCAAGAUGCUUGUAAAGCUAAUCUAAUUAAAAAGAUGUAUAAAUGUUCUUGAAAAAAUUAUGCUUAUU